rnacentral:lncRNA from 12 species
CUCUUUAAAAUCUCAGUUAGACUUUUAUUUUCAAGAGAUAAGGAAGUCUAUAAUACCUAAUAAAAAGCUAUCUAUUGCAUUCUGUUUCAUCUCAAUGGCAGUUGCUUGACUUGUGCAUGACAAAUAUCAAUACACAAGCUGUAAUCUUUGUUCAUGAGCAAUGCCUACAUUUUGUUAGUAUACAUGGCUAUGUCACGGGGUGAUGCAUGACAGGCGGAACCAUUUUUCGUUGAGGAUGUUUCCCAGUCGGAAUGGUUCCGGUGUGACACCUGGCCGGUUCCGGUUGCCCCGUGAGCGGUGCUCAGACGCCCGGAUCAAGUAAAGAAAUGAAUAACAGGUGUGUGAUGAUUGGGACAAGUAACAGGAAUGCGGCUUAUAAAAGGACUUUGUGGCUAAAGGAAAAGCACGGGGUUUGCGGGCGAGACCAGCGCGAGAGAGCGAGAGGUCGGGAAGAGGGGAAGCGUGACGAAAACGGAUUUUCUACAAGCUGUUGAUAGGAGGUAAAGUCUUUUCUACAAAAAAAAGGCCACACAGGGACUGGAGCACGGAUGUGCACAUGCAUACUGGGAACAAGUUAAGUACCACGUUUACCUCCUAUAUGGGUCUUUGAAGCUUGUUGUCCCCAUUUGGAUGUGAUGAUUGGAUGCUUGUUGGCUGGAAGCUAAAUACUUUGAAGGUCUAAACCCUUAAUGUCAGCAUGUUUGUGGUUGCUCACCACUCUCACUGUCUUUGAGUUACACCUCUCUCGAAGCUGGAUAUUCUGUUCUGGUCUUUUUGCAUCCGUGCGAUGAUUGUUUUGCUCCUAAUCCACAUGGUGAUAUUCUAACUUCUUGACGCAAGGGUGUCUGUAGCUGUUCCUCUCCCCCGCUGCUUCGUCUACGGCUGGUUAUCUGCUGUGCUGUUUCUGAGUGGAAGGUGUGGAGGAUGAAGAUCUAGCUCCUGUAUCUAGUGCUGUCCCCUGACAAUUAUAUUUCUGGUCGCCCACGAAACCUCCUUACCUUCAAGGACGAGGAACCGGGUUGGAGCCACGAGCAAAGGCCUUAAUUCACUGUGAGUGUGUGGAUUGUAGUGCUUAUGGAGUAGAAUUACACGUGUGGACGUUUUUUUUU